CGCUAUGUCGCAUCGCCACUUGAUUAUCCGAGUACACCCCAACACACGCGCGCGCACACACACACACGCCCCACGCGCUCACAGUCUCCUGCCCAGAAACGCCUGAAAUCCUAGCUCCUUUGUGGUCACUGUGAAUGAAGCACGCGCGUUUCUGUCGCUUCACCUGAGAAGCUCACGUUGGGGCCGAGGUGCACGCAGCUGCCGCCCGGGCGUCCGUCUGACCCGCGUGGACGUCUGCAGAGUCUGCGAGCGCGGUAGGUGAGCACGGCUGGGCUGUGCUUUCUGGGGCUGUCGGGAGUCUUAGCUGGAAACAAGCAGAACGUGGGAUGCAGUGACGCCUGGUGUCCAGUCGGGCCGACUGAGCCAGGGCUCCUCGGUGUUCUUGCCAUCUAGAUGCCUCGGUUCACUCUCUUGCUUAGUUGAUUAAAUAUGCACGUGUUUAAUGGUCCAUCAGCUCUGACCGGUUCUGAUAUCUUUACACUGACGAGAAUCCCGUGUGUGAUCCGGGCAUUCCAGGAGCGAGCCCAGUGAAGCCAAGCAGACACUCACGGACAAGCGUGCUUAGAUUUCCACACGGUGGUUCUCAUGCCUUCAUUUUCCAUUCCUGACGCUCACACGCGUGGUGUUUUAUAGAUUUGGGGCUGUUUCCACUCGAAUUCUGUAAUGAGGCCUCAGAGAAACUCCACAGACUAAUCGGUGGGGUGCUGAGUGAGCCCGUGACCCAGGACCCACUGUCCUGACACCCCUGGUCUUGCAGGUGAGCAAGGGACUGGCUAGAGCUCGGGGGCAAAGGCGACGCUUUGUGAACUGUCCCUUUGCUAAGCUCCUCUUCACUGCUGACGUACAUGAAAAGGCAGACUGAAUACGUGUACACUCUCACACGUGAGGAGGCAGGGUGUUAAUAAGAUCGGUCGGCCCGCAUCCUGCGUUGCUUUGUGUUGGGCCUCGGUGUAAACUCCUGACCUGUUGUUUGCAACCCUCGCAGCCCCCUUAAAAAGCAAAGACCAUUACCCCCUCGUAACGUGAGGCUCCUGUGCCCAGGGAGGUGGACCCCCCAGCCUGGGGUCACACAGAUUUCAGAGAAUCCACCCAGCCCUUCGGGCCUCGAUUUCCUUUUCCUGGGGUGACGUGUCCCAGGAGACCGCGUGUGUCCCUUCCACCACUUGUCUUGAGACGUCACUUCAUUGACCUUCAGCCUGAUCAGUGGGGAGCAUUCCCUUGACCAGAGGACAAGGGAGACCCCUGCCCUGUCCAUGACCUUGAAGCAUACUCAAGGCUUCUCUUUUUCUUUUGACCGUGAGUGGCUGGGUUGGGAAAUGUGGCUCUUACAAAUAAGACAGACUCAGUCCCCAUCCGGACUGUGAGGAAUGAACCAAUAUUCUCUAUUUACCAAAUGACUUUUAAUUGUUCAAACAUUAUACCUGUUUCAGAGCGUCAUCUCUCUACUCUCUCUGAUGUUUCUGAGGCACUGUCUUCCAAACAUUGUCAUUCCUACUAAUACCAAACUGCCAGAGAAGGCGGUUUUUCAAUUUUAG
ensembl:lncRNA